GCUAUGAUGUAAAUAAAUAGAGGCUGCUCCAUCAACAGACUGAGGUCAACACUGAGCAGAGCUGCAGCUGACCCACAAUGGACUUGUAGCGGCACUUAAUAAAGCUUGGCUGGAUGGAUGAUAGAAAGUAUUCAGAAUCCCAGUGGUCAAAUCUGGCAUGCGCACACAAGAAUUAGAUGGUCGAGGUGAAGAAGAUAACUGAAAUAUUUCUGGGAAGAUAAACUAUCAAAAAUGCCUGGGAAACCGAACAAUAUCUUCUGAAAGUUGAUAAUUAACAUCCAAUGUUCUGAAUUUUAUA